rnacentral:rRNA from 1 species
GAUGAACGCUAGCUACAGGCUUAACACAUGCAAGUCGCGGGGCAGCAUGGGGGUUGCUUGCUAUCUCCGAAGGCGACCGGUGCACGGGUGAGUAACGCCUAUCCACCCUGCCCUACACCACGGGAUAACCCGGCGAAAGUCGGACUAAUACCGUAUGCUCUCCAUUGAUGGCAUCCGAUGUUGACGAAAGGGGUGGCGGCGGAGGCCGGUGAUGCGGCUGAUUAGCUGGAGGGCGGGGAGACGGCCCACGGUGGCGUCGAUCGGUAGGGGUUCCGAGAGGAAGGUCCCUCACACUGGAACUGGGACACGGUCCAGACUCCUACGGGAGGCAGCAGUGAGGAAUAUUGGUCAAUGGGCGUAAGCCUGAACCAGCCAAGUAGCGUGCAGGAUGACGGCCUUAUGGGUUGUAAACUGCUUUUAGGCGGGGAUAAAGUGGCCCACGUGUGGGUUUUUGCAGGUACCGCAUGAAUAAGGACCGGCUAAUUCCGUG